UUAAUUGAAACCAAAUCAGAGGUAAAUCACUGUUAAUGAUUAAAUUGAAUUAAUUUUCCAAUUAAA
rnacentral:tRNA from 1 species